GACGUAGGGGGCAAGCGUUGUCCGGAUUUAUUGGGCGUAAAGAGCUCGUAGGCGGCUCAGAAAGUCGGGUGUGAAACCUCCAGGCUCGACCUGGAGACGCCACCUGAUACUGCUGUGGCUAGAGUCCGGUAGGGGAGCACGGAAUUCCCGGUGUAGCGGUGAAAUGCUUAGAUAUCGGGAGGAACACCAGUGGCGAAGGCGGUGCUCUGGGCCGGAACUGACGCUGAGGAGCGAAAGCGUGGGUAGCAAACAGG
rnacentral:rRNA from 1 species